rnacentral:rRNA from 1 species
UCCCAGACUCCUACGGGAGGCAGCAGUGGGGAAUAUUGGGCAAUGGAGGCAACUCUGACCCAGCAACGCCGCGUGAACGAUGAAGGUCUUCGGAUUGUAAAGUUCUUUAAGUGGGGACGAAGAAAGUGACUGUACCCACAGAAUAAGCCUCGGCUAACUACGUGCCAGCAGCCGCGGUAAUACGUAGGAGGCAAGCGUUAUCCGGAAUGACUGGGCGUAAAGGGUGCGUAGGUGGUUUGGCAAGUUGGUAGCGUAAUCCCGGGGCUCAACCUCGGUGCUACUACCAAAACUGCUGGGCUUGAGUGCAGGAGGGGUGAAUGGAAUUCCUAGUGUAGCGGUGGAAUGCGUAGAUAUUAGGAAGAACACCAGCGGCGAAGGCGAUUCACUGGACUGUAACUGACACUGAGGCACGAAAGCGUGGGGAGCAAACAGGAUUAGAUACCCUUGUAGGU